CGUGCAGCGUGAGGGGCGGAGAUUACAGGACUAUUUAAGUCGAGCUGCCCCUCCUACCUUCCUCUUUUGCUGCGCAACGUCGAUGCGAGGCUCGAGGCUCUUGAAACCUGUACUGACUCUACCCAGAUAGUGAGCGAUGGACAGAUGGCUUCCCCUGCGCCAACAGCGGCGGUGGGGACUGGACGUGAGGUGGCUACACCCCAGGCUGGCAUGAUAUCAUCUCUGACUGGGCCGGUGGUGGGAACAGGCUGCCUGCUUUCAUCACUGCCUGACCAUCAGCUCCACAGCAGCAUGAAGGGAAUCUGAUACACAGCUUUUGUGUCGAAGCCUCUGUCAUAAUAAGAAUUUCUUGAAAAUUUCACGCACACCUUGUAGCCGUUCCAGAGUGGAAUAAGCCUGCCAAAUUUCAGUAGCCUCUUGUCCAGAGAACAAUCAGAUGCUGUGGCACCCCCAUUUCUUUUAAAGCAUGGAAUCCGCUCCUGAUAAACAGACACUGUCUCUGCUGUUUUUUCAUUGCCUACUGAAGACUUCAUCUUUCAACAAGCCUUUUAAGUAGAGAUCUUUCCCAGUCUGCAUCCAUAUUGAAGUCAAACAAUGCCUAGGAGAGGAAACACAAUGAUACUUACAGAGCAGUCCUAUAUACACAUACUCAAAACCCACCCUUGGCAUGUGGCCCCCCAGAAGGUUGCUCAGAAGGGAAUGCAGCACUUGGAUUGACAAUGGUUCCCUGCCCCUGGAGUACAGGCUUGAGCAGAAUGAAGUGUGCGAUUUCUGCGCACCCUUUCCGACCAUGCAAAAUGAGGUCAUCGUGUGUGUGAGAAGGUCUACCGCUGAGGACUUGUGCCAGGAAACAAACUGCUGCCAAGUGACUUUUUCCAAGGAGAUUCCAGGGCUUCCAGGAACAGGGUUGUAAAGGGCAGCAAGCUGCUGAAACACCUGUCUCAGGAACAGGCAAAGAAACCAUGGCCGCAUUUCUUGUUAAUCCGCAUUUCUUGUUAAUUUCUUGUUAAAAGAGUCAAAAGAAAGAAACUUCAGCAUUCAGUCUGUUAUUUAAAAAAAUGUGUGUGUGUGUGGGCUAUGUGCAAGGGUAUGCAUCCCAAUCCCACCCCAAUGUCUCCAUGGACACACUUCACUCUCCUGCUUGCCCUUCUCCAUUCCCAACCUUUGACACAUUGAGUUCAAAGAUCUGGAGGGGCAUUCCUGCUGUAUUCAGCUGAAACCACUUAGAAUCCUCCCUUUGAUAAGAAACUAAUCAUGUUCAGUUGCAGAGGGACAUGGCCAGCUUAGACAGGGACAUUGGGGGCAAUGCAUGCUGCUCCCCUGUGCCCACAGAUAGUUAGGGCCCUCUGCCAUUCUUUUGACUGCCUGAACAGUGCUUUCCUUAGAUGUUUAUCCAUUCUUUCUGUUCCAGUGACUGCAGUCAGCAUGUGAUAAAGCAAUCACAUAUGGCUAGAAAACCAGAGCGAGUCAAUAUUUACUAAGAUGAAAAGGUGCUUGUUGUGCUUCUCAAACUCCUUGUUUGGGUCAGCCACAAGUAACAAUUAGAGAGCUCUAUUUUGCUUACAUCAGGCAGGCAAAAUGUCCUGCCUUAACUGGGCCUUCCUAUGUAAAGGAAGUUGCUCACUCAUUCUUUCCCCAGUGUUUGCCACUGCUGCUGCACAAGCUGUUUGGGGCUUCAUAGAUUUAAUAGAGACAGCUUGAACUGUAUUCAGGCUGUACAGAUUUAGGAUCAAUACAUUGCUACUGGCUGACCCCUCUUUGUAGGUCUUUCUUUUGUACGUCUCCUUUCUUGAGCAGUCAACAGAGUGGUCUCAAAGACACAAGCAGAGAGGACAAGAAAUGCUGGCAAAAUGACGAUUGUUCUCAACAUCUGCUUCUCUCCAAAGAGAGUUUAGCCAAAAUUACAACACAGGCACUCUAUGGAUAUGCUGAUUUUUCUAUUCAGGUGUAGUGUUUUUUUUAAGUUAAAAAAAUUAAAUGCAAAAACAAUUGUAAAUCACUAUUUAAACAUGAUAAAAACAACAAGAAUGGAAGAAGCUGAGAACAGAAAAUGUCUUGGAACAUCAGCUAAUUCCAGUGGCACAUUAUUUUUGCUAGACAAUGCAACAGGCUGUGCUAAGUAAUCUUAGCAUGCAUGUAGCAGCUCUUAUUGAUAAUAGUGGCAUAAUAAUUCCUUCACAGCUGGCAAAGCACUGGAUAUUUGUUUCUCUGAGAUAAAGUGUACCCUGCUGACAAAAACCUUAGGUGUUCAUAAUGAUACAUCCCUUAAGUUUCAGUUGCCUUAUACAGGUAGUUUCAGUUAAAUGAUGAAUUCUGUUACAUGCUAUGAGAGCAAAUCACAUAAAAGCUAAUUUACAGCUUCUCUUCCUUAAUAGCUGGGUACUGGAAACUGUGGCAUAUUGCCAUGAAAAUUUAAUAGCUGUUGGGUUGCAUCCAAAUUUAGCUGUGCUUAGAGUAGAUCCAUUUCAAUCAAUAGGAUGCAUGUUAGUUAAUCCCCAUUUAUUUCAAUGGGUCUACUCUAUGCUUGAUUAAAGUGGCAAUCCUAACCAUGUCUGUUAAGAGAUAGGUCCCAUUUAUUUCAGUGGGCUUUCUCCCAGGUAAGUGGGGUUAGAAUUACAGCCUAAGUUUGGAUCCAGUCCAUUAACUUUAAUAUUAUGGGUCAGAUUCUGUUAUCGUUGUAGAACAAUCCCACACUUUUGCCCUAAAGUCACACUGAACUGAUGUGCUUUUUUAAAAAAGUCUCAACCAUGCACACAGUUUCUUACUCUGCAUGCACAAAAGGUUUAUUUUGUGCUUCAAAGUCUAAAAAUUCAGCACUUGGCAUAAAUUAUGCAAAUCACUGCAAUGUAUGGCAGUUUUACUUAUUUUGCUAACAGUAUGCUUUGUUUGAAUGACGUUUGAAUAACUGCAUAACCAUUUUUCAUUUUUAGUUUUCUAAAUCAGCUGUGCAAUGAGCAAAAGAGAAAUGUAAGUAGGGCAGGGGGCAUAAACUGCAAUGCCACAGGAGUUCCCAAAAGUGGCAAAAUGUGAUGUCGCUCCCAGAACCUCAGCUUUCAUUUUCUUUAAAAAGAGCACGUUUCUAGCUCUUAUUUUUGAGAUGUGUUUGACAAUGUGUGAGAGAAGAAUGAAUGCAGAAAUCUUAGAGAUCACUAAGGUUGCUGAACAAAGUUCCCAAUGGUCAGGCGGGCAUUAAUGCCCUGUAUAACUCCUUGUCUGUGGCCCUCUGGCCAUGACUAAGCAAAGCCAACAUGUCAUCCCUAUGUUUCUGUUUUUAUUUCACUGAUAUGACUACACACUUUCUCCCUUGCUGCCUCUUAUACCUGGAAUUCCCAUGUGAGACCCCUUCACAUUCUUCUUUCAAAUCUCUCCUCAAAACAUUUUCCUUUAAAACAGCCCCAUAGCCCCAAUACCCUACUGUAACAAAACCAGCAUAUGUGUCACUGAAAUAGUAAUAUAUUCUUCCCCUGCUAACCUUUGCCUGUUUUCCUCAUCUUCCUCUGUUUUUCCUCUUGUAACUAUUUAGACUGUAAAAUAGACUGUAAGACCUUUGGGGCAGGGACCUGUCAAACCUGUUCUUUGUAAUGCACCAUAUACAUAAAUGUAUAUUAAUCUUAUUGUUUA